rnacentral:rRNA from 1 species
CGCUGGCGGCAUGCCUAACACAUGCAAGUCGAACGGCAGCGCGGGGGCAACCCUGGCGGCGAGUGGCGGACGGGUGAGGAAUGCAUAGGAAUCUGCCCGGUUGUGGGGGAUAACGUAGGGAAACUUACGCUAAUACCGCAUACGACCUUCGGGUGAAAGUGGGGGACCUUCGGGCCUCACGCGAUCGGAUGAGCCUA